AAGUCGUAACAAGGUUUCCGUAGGUGAACCUGCGGAAGGAUCAUUAGCACUUUUUUUGUGCUGUUUGGUUGAUGAGACCAGCGCACAAAUGACACCUGUGAGCACUAUGGAAUUGUGGUAUUUGUGGUAGGCGGGUCAUGAGGCUGGCCUUUGGGCCAGUGGUAGUGAUCUGUUCUGUCCAUGAAAUUUCCUUUUUAACCCCAACAACCAAUAGUAAAAAACUGAAAAAAGACUAAACUUUUCUCCUAUAGCCUCUCUAACCAGAGGUGAAUAGAGAAAACCUUGAUAUUCUAACCAAAGAAACAAUUCUUAGCAACGGAUAUCUUGGUUCCC
rnacentral:misc_RNA from 1 species